rnacentral:rRNA from 1 species
GCGUUGUCCGGAUUUAUUGGGUUUAAAGGGUGCGUAGGCGGUCUUUUAAGUCAGUGGUGAAAGCCAGCAGCUCAACUGUUGAACUGCCAUUGAUACUGGAAGACUCGAGUACAGACGAGGUAGGCGGAAUUUAUGGUGUAGCGGUGAAAUGCAUAGAUACCAUAAAGAACACCGAUUGCGAAGGCGGCUUACUAGGCUGUAACUGACGCUGAGGCACGAAAGCGUGGGGAUCAAACAGGAUUAGAUACCCUGGUAGUCCACGCCGUAAACGAUGAUUACUCGAUGUUCGCGAUAUACAGUGAGCGUCCAAGCGAAAGCGUUAAGUAAUCCACCUGGGAAGUACGAUCGCAAGAUUGAAACUCAAAGGAAUUGACG